rnacentral:rRNA from 1 species
UACGGAGGGUGCGAGCGUUAAUCGGAAUUACUGGGCGUAAAGCGCACGCAGGCGGAUUGUUAAGCUAGAUGUGAAAGCCCCGGGCUCAACCUGGGAAUUGCAUUUAGAACUGGCAGUCUAGAGUCUUGGAGAGGGGAGUGGAAUUCCAGGUGUAGCGGUGAAAUGCGUAGAGAUCUGGAGGAACAUCAGUGGCGAAGGCGGCUCCCUGGCCAAAGACUGACGCUCAUGUGCGAAAGCGUGGGUAGCGAACAGG